rnacentral:rRNA from 1 species
UACGAAGGGGGCUAGCGUUGCUCGGAAUCACUGGGCGUAAGGCGCACGUAGGCGGAUUGUUAAGUCAGGGGUGAAAUCCUGGAGCUCAACUCCAGAACUGCCUUUGAUACUGGCGAUCUUGAGUCCGGGAGAGGUGAGUGGAACUGCGAGUGUAGAGGUGAAAUUCGUAGAUAUUCGCAAGAACACCAGUGGCGAAGGCGGCUCACUGGCCCGGUACUGACGCUGAGGUGCGAAAGCGUGGGGAGCAAACAGG